rnacentral:lncRNA from 1 species
AUGAGAAGAAACAGAAGUCUCAUCUUCUUAGCUUGCUCCAUGAUACAAAAUCUUCACACCAGCAACUCCUCACCCAUGAACACAGACCAUGUUGAAAAUCUGUCUGGCCAGGUGAUACGUGGAAAGCUUUUGUGUACUAAGGAUGCAGUGGUGAAGAAAGUGCUGCUCCUGUUUUGGGUGUUAAGUGAGCUUUCCUGUGCACUCGACCAGAUAAUGCUGCCAGGGUUUCUGUACGUGACAUCAAGAUUGGAAGCCCUGAAGCUGGAGUCUUGGACAUGUCAGUGUCCCAUCUGGGAGAGGGUGAUCUCUUACGGCACGCUUCCUCUUCCCACCUCCUUACCAAGACAUUCAUCACCACAUGCAUUCUUGACAUCCCCCCCCCCAAGAAGCUGCAUGGUUUGGGGACAGUGA